rnacentral:tRNA from 1 species
GUCGAAAUAGCUCAGUUGGGAGAGCGUUAAACUGUAGAUCGAAAGGUUACUGGUUCAAUUCCAGGAUUCGGAA